AGGGGGUGGGGGUGGGAGAGGAGGUUGAGAAUCAAAAUAUACCCCUGAAAAAAAUAAUGCCUUCCUCCUCCCUUGCUGUUCUGCAAGUACAUUGUCUUUGCAAUACUAUAGUUCGUCGAGUUUUCAUUAUAGGUUCAAGUUUACAUCUUACCUUCAUUUCUUGUUAAGGCUACUUGAUAUAUGCUUUAACCUUAUCCCAUUGGUCUUGGCCAUAAGAAUUAAGUUAUAAUCCAUCAAUAUCUAAAAACUUUUUACACUCAGUGCUCACCUACAAUGUUUGAGAAUUGAGUUAUAAGGUCUGAGCACUUUCUAUAAUCAAGGCUCAUCUACCAUUAUCACUCCUAAUUGAUGUCGAGUGUUUGCUUGAGGUAUCUUUAGAGAAGAUUUGGGCUUGCUCUAAAUGCGUGCAGUGCAUGCAUGCCAAGGAAGAACUUUGAAAGUCCUCGUAGACUCAUGAGGAAUCUAACAAAGAGAGAAGAAUGCAUACUUUGAUGUUAGGAUAUAUAUUCAUCUUGAAGAAAUAGGUAGAAGCCAAAAUCAUACCACUAUAAGGAAGAACUUUGAAAGUCCUCGUAGACUCAUGAGGAAUCUAACAAAGAGAGAAGAAUGCAUACUUUGAUAUUAGGAUAUAUAUUCAUCUUGAAGAAAUAGGUAGAAGCCAAAAUCAUACCACUAUAUUUUAGUUGAUGGAUAAUUAAAAUUAAGGUACGCCAAAUCGUCCCAAAUUGGGCGGUUUGGGGCAUAUAGAAUCAAACUGGCUAAGAACCGGGACGGUGUGACCACCCAAAAUGAAAUAGAAUUAGAACUUGUUAGAACUAGUCCAAAGUGGAUUGAACGAAUUAGUUCUUUCCGGUUUCGAAUAGUUUUGACUUGGUUUGCCCAGCCAAACCGAGCGCUGUUAUAAAACCCUGACCCUCCUCAUGUUUGUUCAAACGAUCUUUCUCUCUUUUCUAUCCUAUUUGAAAUCCUAGCCAUCGCCCUCUGCCUACACGCCUCCCGCACCACCACCACACCCCACCCCCCCUGCCGGGCACGAACCCUUUGCUUCACCCACCACCUAAUCACCUACUCAUCCUCCUGUGUUCAUGCCAUAGGGGACCUUGACAAUGGCUAUGGUCCCAAUCUAUGAGCUUUGGGCCUGAUCGGCAAGCUAUGGCCCCUGAUUGACGAGCUCUAACCUCCCAGUCCACUUCCUCUUCUCUCUCUCCCGCUCAUCCACUCUCACCGACAUCCUGUAGGUAUUGGUCAUAGUACUUGUUUUGCGAUUAAUCGGUCCUUUAUGAUUGUGCAAUAAUUGAAGGUGAUGUUGGAAAAUUUUGGAUGAUUUUGAUUAUCUCACAAAUCUUGGACCUCUAUUUUGUAAUAUGGGUUUGCUGAUUCGUCUAAUUUGUAACAGCAGUUUUGGCUUAGAUCACACAAUUUAACAUAUGGAUUACUUGGUGGAUUUCGGUGCUAGUUUGCUUGUUAUCCAACACCUGACCCAUUCUCAACUUGACAACUA
rnacentral:lncRNA from 1 species